CAGAGGGUGCGAGCGUUAAUCGGAAUUACUGGGCGUAAAGCGCGCGUAGGCGGCUUUGCAAGUCGGGUGUGAAAUCCCCAGGCUUAACCUGGGAACUGCAUUCGAGACUGCAUUGCUAGAGUAUGGAAGAGGGAAGUGGAAUUUCAGGUGUAGCGGUGAAAUGCGUAGAUAUCUGAAGGAACAUCAGUGGCGAAAGCGACUUCCUGGACCAAUACUGACGCUCAUGUGCGAAAGCGUGGGGAGCAAACAGGAUUAGAUACCCUGGUAGUCCACGCCAUAAACGAUGAGAACUGGAUGUCGGGAGGGUCUGCCUCUCGGUGUCGUAGCUAACGCGUUAAGUUCUCCGCCUGGGGAGUACGGCCGCAAGGUUG
rnacentral:rRNA from 1 species